AGAUGUAAAAUGAAGCUGCACCCCUCCUAUACCUGCCGGAAACUACAUCUCUCUGCACACACCCUGGGGUAAUACGCACUGCACCCGGCGAGUUACCUGGAAUACGUUUACUAAAUCGACAGGAAGAAGGAAAGAUCAAUGCGAUUCAAGUGCUGACGGUUGUACUCGUGAAGGAAAAAAACAAAUGCAAGCCGGGAAGUCCCCAGUGGUGCCUGCACCUAGGAGGCGACUGCAACGGAUGGAUGCGGGGGUAGAUAAUCAGCAACCCCCCAAGACUGUGCCUGCUGCACAACUACAGAACGCAGUGGAAGACACGCUGAAUUCUGAGUCAGAAGGUUGACUUUCUAGCUGUGGGGACUUGGCCAAACCUCCUCAGAGCUUCAGUUUUCUCAUCUGUAAAAUAGAGAUCUUAAUCCCUACCAAUCUCACAGGACUGCUGAGAGUAUCAGAUGAG
rnacentral:lncRNA from 1 species